AGCGAACGCUGGCGGCAGGCCUAACACAUGCAAGUCGAGCGGCCGUAGCAAUACGGCAGCGGCAGACGGGAGAGUAACACGUGGGAACGCGCCCUUCGGUUCGGAAUAACUCAGGGAAACUUGAGCUAAUACCGGAUACGCCCUUACGGGGAAAGAUUUAUUGCCGAAGGAACGGCCGCGUCCGAUUAGCUUGUUGGUGAGGUAACGGCUCACCAAGGCGACGAUCGGUAGCUGGUCUGAGAGGAUGACCAGCCUCACUGGGACUGAGACACGGCCCAGACUCCUACGGGAGGCAGCAGUGGGGAAUAUUGGACAAUGGGCGCAAGCCUGAUCCAGCCAUGCCGCGUGGGUGAUGAAGGCCCUAGGGUUGUAAAGCCCUUUCAGCGGGGAAGAUAAUGACGGUACCCGCAGAAGAAGCCCCGGCUAACUUCGUGCCAGCAGCCGCGGUAACAC
rnacentral:rRNA from 1 species